rnacentral:rRNA from 1 species
UCCGCGUUUCAAGGUGGGGUUUGUCUACAACUUCCCUUUGUAUUGGGAUCGAAUGCUCCGUGAGGGGUGGGUUGGGAGCAAGAGGACCAUAUCGCCGCCGACCAACGAGGGGAAAGCGAGGCCGACGUUAGAGUAGAGCUAGAGGCUGAGACUAGCUGAGGUUGGAGUGGAAGGGGUGUAUUUAGGUAGGUGUGUGGGUUCCGCCUCUCCUCCCGGUUGGCUAGACCCUAGCUAGGUGUGUGGCCUCUCCUUCUCGAACUACCGUGAGCUAGACGUUAGGUACCUGUAGCCGGACCGACGAGAACGACGAAGAAUGGAGCCGCCCCUCCUUCGGCAGUUCUUCGGACUGUCGUCAGGUAGGCGUCCUCUCCCUUUCCAUAACUAAAAGGCGUCCGCGGGUUAGUGUGUCCUAAGGGGCAGGAACUUAGGGGGACGAAUACCGAUGGGGCUGCCGCCACCGCUGGUCGGUUCGAAGCAGAACUAGCUCGGUAUGCGGAAGAAACGGCUGGCGGCGUUGCGGUGGUGGCGGCUGACGCCGAACCUCCCAGAGGCAGAGGCCCCAUUGUAGCUCCAGUGGAAGACGUGGCGGGUUGGUGGCGUCCAGAGGAUGGAUACGAAGGUGCAGUGGCGGAUGCUGGUGUUGCACAAGCGGUGGGCCGGAUCGUAUCAGCGGUGUCUCUGACUGCCACCCGAGCAGGAGGAUACGCAGCAUCAGCCACUAACGGGUAGGCUACGCAACAUAGCGCCGUUAGCUGUGAUGAAGCAGAUGCUGCGGUCACAAGGGCUCGAGUUCGUGUAGUUCGUCGGGCCGUUGCUGGUGGGUCUCGAUUACCCAAGUCUAUACCGUUAGGAAGAGUGGAGACGGAGAUACUGGUACUAUGGUUGAGGACCUCGUUCGACGGUCACUUACAGCUAAGUCAGGGGCUGCGGCUGCUCAAGUAGUGUAUGUUCCGUUAGUGUUAGCCUCCACUACUUCCUUGUCACCGGACCCAACUAGAGAGCGUAUACUAGUAGAAGACGUUGCACGACCUGUUUGUGGGGUUCGGAGUAAAGAAUUCUGACGGAUCGUUACGUUGAGCUAGCGGGCGACAAGCCCUGCAAAGUCAGGAAUUACCGAAGUAGUUCUACCAGCUCGACCUCGUGGCACGAUAACCAACCUUCCGGUGUUAUACCUCGUAGUUCUGACCGUAGAAGAGGUUUCGCGUAACCUCACAGCUAACGGUCAAGCUAAGGAGACGAUAUGGACUUGGCGGCGACGGAUUCGACUUCCAGGCACUUCCACAGUGUCGAGUCGGAUGGAACAACUGAGAGGUAGAUACAAAAAUUCAGCCAUUCCGCUAGAUUCCGCGACCCCCCCGCGGAAUAGCGGAUCCGCUGCGGAUUCGCGGAUUCCGCCUGCGGAUUCGCGGAUUCCGCCCGUAUAAACAUUCCGCGACCGCCCCGCGGAAUAGCGGAUUCGCAGCGGAUUCGCAGGUUCCGCCCUGCGGAAUUUUUGUCUCGAGAGGUAUAACCGGACGGGUUCGACUCGGACGUUCUACUAACGUAAGAAAUGAAUGAUCGAUUCUAACUGAUGGCGCUGUCCGUCGUGUGUAGUACCCACGAACGACAACUGUACUUCUUGUUGUGACAGGUCUCUCACCGACUCAAAUCGGGGUUCUCCCGAUAACCAAAUCGGUCCCCGAUGCUAAGUUCAUGCUAGAGGUUUAUAGAGUUUCAACCAGGUCCCUUUCCGCACGUUCUUCGACUCGUCACUGGCCUCUACUGCGGUACCACUAAUUGUUCACCUUCCUCAAACGUACACUCGACUUGACCUCAUAUACUGGACUUUUAUUACGUACACGUAACUACCUCCCACAGAGUCCUGAUAGGAAGCAAACAGACAAAGAUCUGGAAAAAAUAAUUAUACAUAGGUAGAGCAGAUAUAACGGAGUUGUGGCUGAGAACAGC